GACGAACGCUGGCGGCGUGCUUAACACAUGCAAGUCGAACGGAAAGGCCCUGCUUGCAGGGUACUCGAGUGGCGAACGGGUGAGUAACACGUGGGUGAUCUGCCCUGCACUUCGGGAUAAGCCUGGGAAACUGGGUCUAAUACCGGAUAGGAGCCAUUUUUAGUGUGGUGGUUGGAAAGUUUUUUUCGGUGUAGGAUGAGCUCGCGGCCUAUCAGCUUGUUGGUGGGGUAAUGGCCUACCAAGGCGGCGACGGGUAGCCGGCCUGAGAGGGUGGACGGCCACAUUGGGACUGAGAUACGGCCCAGACUCCUACGGGAGGCAGCAGUGGGGAAUAUUGCACAAUGGGCGCAAGCCUGAUGCAGCGACGCCGCGUGGGGGAUGACGGCCUUCGGGUUGUAAACUCCUUUCGCUAGGGACGAAGCUUUUUGUGACGGUACCUAGAUAAGAAGCACCGGCUAACUACGUG
rnacentral:rRNA from 1 species